rnacentral:rRNA from 1 species
GACGAACGCUGGCGGCGUGCUUAACACAUGCAAGUCGAGCGGAAAGGCCACUUCGGUGGUACUCGAGCGGCGAACGGGUGAGUAACACGUGAGUAAUCUGCCCUUCACUCUGGGAUAGCCACCGGAAACGGUGAUUAAUACCGGAUACGACCAAUCCCUGCAUGGGGUGGUGGUGGAAACUUUUUUGGGUGGGGGAUGUGCUCGCGGCCUAUCAGCUUGUUGGUGGGGUAAUGGCCUACCAAGGCUUCGACGGGUAGCCGGCCUGAGAGGGUGACCGGCCACACUGGGACUGAGACACGGCCCAGACUCCUACGGGAGGCAGCAGUGGGGAAUAUUGCACAAUGGGCGAAAGCCUGAUGCAGCGACGCCGCGUGAGGGAUGACGGCCUUCGGGUUGUAAACCUCUUUCAGCAGGGAAGAAGCGAAAGUGACGGUACCUGCAGAAGAAGCACCGGCUAACUACGUGCCAGCAGCCGCGGUAAGAC